rnacentral:rRNA from 1 species
UGCCAGCCGCCGCGGUAAUACCGGUGGCUCGAGUGGUGGCCGCUAUUAUUGGGUCUAAAGGGUCCGUAGCCGGCCUGAUAAGUUACCUGGGAAAUCCGGUGGCCUAACCAUCGGGCGGCCAGGUAAUACUAUCAGGCUCGGGACUAGGAGAGACCAGAGGUACUCAUGAGGUAGGAGUGAAAUCCUGUAAUCUUAUGAGGACCACCAGUGGUGAAGACGUCUGGUUAGAAUAGGUCCGACGGUGAGGGACGAAGGCUGGGGGCGCAAACCGGAUUAGAUACCCGGGUAGUCCCAGCAGUAAACGAUGCCAGCUAUGUGUUGCUGGAACCAUGGGUUCCAGCAGUGCCGAAGGGAAGCCGUGAAGCUGGCCACCUGGGAAGUACGGUCGCAAGGCUGAAACUUAAAGGAAUUGGCGGGGGAGUACCACAACCGGUGGAGCCUGCGGUUUAAUUGGAUACAACGCCGGGAAUCUUACCGGAGGGGACAGCAGUAUGAAGGCCAGGCUAAAGACCUUGCCAGAUCAGCUGAGAGGAGGUGCAUGGCCGUCGCCAGUUCGUACCGUGAGGCAUCCUGUUUAGUCAGGCAACGAUCGAGACCCGCAGGU